rnacentral:rRNA from 1 species
GUAUAAGCAAUCAUACUGUGAAACUGCGAAUGGCUCAUUAAAUCAGUUAUCGUUUAUUUGAUAGUACCUUUACCUGGAUAACCGUGGUAAUUCUAGAGCUAAUACAUGCUAAAAAUCCCGACUUCGGAAGGGAUGUAUUUAUUAGAUAAAAAACCAAUGCCCUUCGGGGCUCCUUGGUGAUUCAUAAUAACUUAACGAAUCGCAUGGCCUUGCGCCGGCGAUGGUUCAUUCAAAUUUCUGCCCUAUCAACUUUCGAUGGUAGGAUAGUGGCCUACCAUGGUCUCAACGGGUAACGGGGAAUUAGGGUUCUAUUCCGGAGAGGGAGCCUGAGAAACGGCUACCACAUCCAAGGAAGGCAGCAGGCGCGCAAAUUACCCAAUCCCAAUUCGGGGAGGUAGUGACAAUAAAUACUGAUACAGGGCUCUUUUGGGUCUUGUAAUUGGAAUGAGUACAAUCUAAAUCCCUUAACGAGGAACAAUUGGAGGGCAAGUCUGGUGCCAGCAGCCGCGGUA